GUAAAUUCUGCGAGUUUCGACUUCUCGUUGAUUCACCGGAGAUUCUGGCCGCCGCCGGAGCUAUUGCCGGGGCCGGUUCGAAGUCGCAGCUGCUUCGUGUUGUUAUUCCGAGCUGUUUAUGCUGCUGCGAAAAUGUGUGGGGCUGUGCUUUGAAGCUGCCUUUGAUUUUGAGUUGAGGUGAAAAAGAACUUAUGAGGCGCUUGGAUUAUGGAAUUGCGUUUUGAGGAUAUGGGCGCAGAAGUUACGAAGAGUUUAUUUGGUUUUUGAGAACUCUGUAUUGCU